AGUUAAUAAAAAAAUUAUCUUGAAAAUAAAAAUUAACUA
rnacentral:tRNA from 1 species